GAUGAACGCUGGCGGCGUGCCUAAUACAUGCAAGUCGAGCGAACAGAUAAGGAGCUUGCUCCUUUGACGUUAGCGGCGGACGGGUGAGUAACACGUGGGUAACCUACCUAUAAGACUGGGAUAACUUCGGGAAACCGGAGCUAAUACCGGAUAACAUUUGGAACCGCAUGGUUCUAAAGUGAAAGAUGGGUUUGCUAUCACUUAUAGAUGGACCCGCGCCGUAUUAGCUAGUUGGUAAGGUAACGGCUUACCAAGGCGACGAUACGUAGCCGACCUGAGAGGGUGAUCGGCCACACUGGAACUGAGACACGGUCCAGACUCCUACGGGAGGCAGCAGUAGGGAAUCUUCCGCAAUGGGCGAAAGCCUGACGGAGCAACGCCGCGUGAGUGAUGAAGGGUUUCGGCUCGUAAAACUCUGUUAUUAGGGAAGAACAAAUGUGUAAGUAACUGUGCACAUCUUGACGGUACCUAAUCAGAAAGCCACGGCUAACUACGUGCCAGCAGCCGCGGUAAUACGUAGGUGGCAAGCGUUAUCCGGAAUUAUUGGGCGUAAAGCGCGCGUAGGCGGUUUCUUAAGUCUGAUGUGAAAGCCCACGGCUCAACCGUGGAGGGUCAUUGGAAACUGGGAAACUUGAGUGCAGAAGAGGAAAGUGGAAUUCCAUGUGUAGCGGUGAAAUGCGCAGAGAUAUGGAGGAACACCAGUGGCGAAGGCGACUUUCUGGUCUGUAACUGACGCUGAUGUGCGAAAGCGUGGGGAUCAAACAGGAUUAGAUACCCUGGUAGUCCACGCCGUAAACGAUGAGUGCUAAGUGUUAGGGGGUUUCCGCCCCUUAGUGCUGCAGCUAACGCAUUAAGCACUCCGCCUGGGGAGUACGACCGCAAGGUUGAAACUCAAAGGAAUUGACGGGGACCCGCACAAGCGGUGGAGCAUGUGGUUUAAUUCGAAGCAACGCGAAGAACCUUACCAAAUCUUGACAUCCUUUGAAAACUCUAGAGAUAGAGCCUUCCCCUUCGGGGGACAAAGUGACAGGUGGUGCAUGGUUGUCGUCAGCUCGUGUCGUGAGAUGUUGGGUUAAGUCCCGCAACGAGCGCAACCCUUAAGCUUAGUUGCCAUCAUUAAGUUGGGCACUCUAGGUUGACUGCCGGUGACAAACCGGAGGAAGGUGGGGAUGACGUCAAAUCAUCAUGCCCCUUAUGAUUUGGGCUACACACGUGCUACAAUGGACAAUACAAAGGGCAGCUAAACCGCGAGGUCAUGCAAAUCCCAUAAAGUUGUUCUCAGUUCGGAUUGUAGUCUGCAACUCGACUACAUGAAGCUGGAAUCGCUAGUAAUCGUAGAUCAGCAUGCUACGGUGAAUACGUUCCCGGGUCU
rnacentral:rRNA from 1 species